GACGAACGCUGACGGUGUGCUUUAGACAUGCAAGUCGAACGAGAAAGCCCUUCGGGGUGAGUAAAGUGGCGAACGGGUGAGUAACACGUGGGUAACCUGCCCCUCGCAGAGGGAUAACUGGGGGAAACCCCAGCUAAUACCUCGUACGCUUGCCGGGUCGCAUGGCUCGGCAAGGAAAGGUAGCUUCGGCCAUCCGGCGAGGGAUGGGCCCGCGGUCCAUUAGCUAGUUGGUGGGGUAAAAGCCCACCAAGGCGACGAUGGAUAGCUGGUCUGAGAGGAUGAUCAGCCACACUGGGACUGAGACACGGCCCAGACUCCUACGGGAGGCAGCAGUCGGGAAUCUUGCGCAAUGGGCGAAAGCCUGACGCAGCAACACCGUGUGGGCGACGAAGGCCUUCGGGUCGUAAAGCCCUGUUGUUGGGGACGAAGGACGAAGGGUUAAUAGCCCCUAGUCUGACGGUACCCUUCGAGGAAGCCCCGGCUAACUACGUGCCAGCCGCCGCCGUAAGAC
rnacentral:rRNA from 1 species